UACGAAGGGGGCUAGCGUUGUUCGGAAUUACUGGGCGUAAAGGGCGCGUAGGCGGUGUGUCAAGUCAGGCGUGAAAGCCCCGGGCUCAACCUGGGAACCGCGCUUGAGACUGGCACGCUCGAGUUCGGGAGAGGAUGGUGGAAUUCCCAGUGUAGAGGUGAAAUUCGUAGAUAUUGGGAGGAACACCAGUGGCGAAGGCGGCUCACUGGACCGGAACUGACGCUGAGGCGCGGAAAGCGUG
rnacentral:rRNA from 1 species